rnacentral:snRNA from 1 species
GAACAGGUUCCUGCAGUACUAAGCAGCACCCUCUGUCAUCCCACUGAUCUCCAGGGCUGACUGGGCUGAUCUAGUUGGCUAGGCAGGUGUUCCCUCCUCCCACCCUGCUCCGAGCGUGUCUCUCCUGAAGCUGGAGCAUGGGAGUAUCUGUGCUCUUCUGCUAGAACCUCAAGAUGAGCUCCCAAACGGUGCCAUCAGAGGAAUAACCCUCACCUAUGAGCCCCAGCAGUGAACCCCACAUACCGGCCCAAUAACCAAUGCGCCAGUUACCCCGCCUGGU